rnacentral:rRNA from 1 species
UACGGGGGGGGCAAGCGUUGUUCGGAAUUACUGGGCGUAAAGGGCGCGUAGGCGGCCAUCUAAGUCAGACGUGAAAUCCCUCGGCUCAACCGAGGAACUGCGUCUGAUACUGGAAGGCUUGAAUCCGGGAGAGGGAUGUGGAAUUCCAGGUGUAGCGGUGAAAUGCGUAGAUAUCUGGAGGAACACCGGUGGCGAAGGCGGCAUCCUGGACCGGUAUUGACGCUGAGGCGCGAAAGCUAAGGGAGCAAACGGG